rnacentral:rRNA from 1 species
AUUAAUUGUUGGCCGGUAUGAAUGGCGUCACGAAGGCCCCACUGUCUUAAGAGGACUCUCCAUGAAAUUGAAUUCGUAGUGAAGAUGCUACGUCCAUAUUGUAAGACGAAAAGACCCCAUUGAGCUUUACUAAAGACUUGCAUGGCUCAAAAUAAUUUGAUUUAAAUAAAGAGUUUAGAUAAUGUGGGAUCCGUUUCCGGUUAAUGAAACACCACUCUUUUAUUUUAAGAGAGCUAACAUUACAGGGAUAGUGUAAGUUGGAUAGUUUGGUUGGGGCGACCACCUUUUAAAAGGUAACGAAGGUGAGCUUAAGGUCCGUAGUUAAUAGCCGGUGGCCUGACUGCAAGGGAAACGUCUCGAGCAGACACGUCCUUAGGGAUGUGGACUAUAGUGACCCGUCAUCUUAGUGUGGAAUAGUUGACGAUCAA